GCCGGGCACGGUGGCACACGCCUGUAAUCCCAGCAGCUCAGGAGGCUGAGGCAGGAGGAUUUCAAGUUCAAAGCCGGACUCAGCAACAGCGAGGCACUGGACAACUCAGUGAGACCCUGUCUCUA
rnacentral:sRNA from 1 species